UGCCCACAGAGGAGAUCCUAAAAAAGUUCUCAUCACAAGGAAAAGUCCUAUGGCUUUGUGUGGUGACGGAUGUUACCAAGACCUAUCGUGGUGGUCACUUCACAGUGUAUACCAACACCAUGUCGUGUCGCACACCUGGACCUGAGUUCCGGGAGCGCGUGCACGAGUGUGCAGGAGCCGCGGGUGCAGAUGAAUGGGGGCACAGAGAGGAAGAGCGUCUCUGGAGCUGUGUCUCGUCUGCCUGCUUUCCCUGUCAUCUGGGUGCCUCUGUCCUGCCCCGGAGGGAGGUUACAGAUGCAGCCAAACACCACUUGCGUACAACACAGAGGAAUUCGAGCUGGUAUGAGCAGCAUGGCCCCGUGACUAGGAAUUCCGAGAUGGAGAAACUGAGGUACAGGAGGAUUAAGUAACUCGUCUGAGGUCCCGCGACGAACACCGGGCGGAUUGGGAAUCCUGCAUGGGCGUCUCUGAGCUCAGAGCCCACACUCGCGGCCUCGCAUUCUUCUUUGACUUGACUUGCUUCUCUGAGCGUCCAUGCCCAGGGAGACACGCACACCGUUACUUGCGCUCCUUUGGAACCCCCAGACCACGAGGCCAACACCCUGGCUGGGCCAUCCUCUGCUGGCUGUGAGGGGAAGGGGCUUCACCCAGAGGAGGAACUCGCUCUGGACGAGGCGGUUUGUAUGACGCAUCCUGGAACGUGGCCUGCCCUACAGUGGCCAGGGACCAGUCGGGGCACCGCAGGAAAGCAGAAACAGGUUUGAGGCAUCUAAAUGUCGGCUCGGGUUUCUGGGUUGUGCCCUUUAUCAGCACUCCUGCUUCAUGACGGCCGGUGGACAGCUGUGCCACCAGCCAGGACCCCCACGUUCCGUGUCCUAGACUGUGUCUGUUUCUUGGAGGGGAGGCCUGGGGUGCAGGCUCUUCCUGCAUUUUCUGCUUUUCGCAGCUUUGCCCUCAGUGACGUCACUCUGUCAGCCUGGCGUUGACGUUGAUGGGAGCGUUUACGCCAUGGGAAUCCGCAAAGGCCACACACACACCACGGCUUUCCUGUUCUCAUAGAGCCAGUCGUGAGCCCUUUACCAGAACACCACGGAGUAUAACCCACCGGUCUCAGUGCUCGGACUUCAUCAUCAAAGGCCUGGGGGCACCUCCCAGCGACACCCCCUACAAGCUGGAUGACUCUCUGAGUGUCAGUUUCUGCAUGGGCUAGAUCGGGGUGCUGACAGCGACGUGUUCUGGUUUGCGUGGGGGAAGGUGAGACAUGCCCAUCGAGAGCUUGUGGAGUGGCCCCUCGCGAACACCCCGCAAUGGAUAUUGAUUCUUAGAACUAAUAAAUGAGAGUCAGCAGUGAGCAAAAAUGAAGACAUUAGGAGAGCCACUAAAGUGCCUAGAAGUGGCGACAGAACGGUGUCCUUAACCAUAUAGACGGUGCCACUGAGCGCCAGCUGGAACUCGGGGUCCGCGUUCCCGGCAGUACAGAUGUGCGCGAGCGAGUCGGGCAGGUGCCAGGCAGUGGGGGAUGGGCAGCGAGAGACUGUUCCAGGCGAACAGGAGGAACGGUUCUCAGGAGACGUUACUCAUGGCUCUCACAGAAAGGGAGCCGAAGGACCAUGUGGGAAUGAGACCCAAAAUCAGGCAGACCAGGGCACCAAUCCUAGUUUUACGUUUGGCGCUUCUGUGACCUUGAGCGAGGUACUGAGUUUUGCAGACCUUCGCUCUCCCAUGUCCAGACUAGAGAGAACGACCUUGUGCUGGAAGGAUUGCACGAGCUAAUGCUGUGUACGCGGAUGACCUCUGCCGGGAGCCCCUGGGGACUGUGUCAUCAGGCGGCCCCACUGGGGCUGCAGAGUGCACCUGUCUCGCUUAUGUGUCUGGUCCCAGGUCCUGCCUCAGUUUCUCCUCCUCCAUGUGGAGGCUCACGCUCUGGCAAGCUAAACCAGUCUCCUUCCCAUCUCAGGACUCCUUCAGGAGAUGUGUGUCCCAUUGCAGAGGGCCUGAAAAUGGGGACGGGAAUCCCCCGGGCCAUUAUGACCGUCAUUUCUCAUACGUAUUAACACGUAGAUGUUCUUAGCCUUUCCCCUUUCUGCCACUUGCCCUGGUCCCAGCCUAGUGAAGGUAUCAUUGUCUUUGUCCUUCCAACACCACCCAUUCCCUGCCUUGUACGAUGACCUCUGGCUUGCUUGUCUCAUACUCUGGGAGGUGCAGAGCUGGGAGAAAGAUCAGCGGUCGAGGACCAGAGAAAUGGGAGGGGAGAGGAGAGAAAGAAGCGCAAGAGCCUGUCCCUGGGGUGGCUGUUCAGGCGGCUCUGGGUGCAGAUGGAGGGGAAGGACAGGACAGGGCUCCAGACCUCAGAAGGUAUGUGAACACAGAGGAGAAACAAAAGGGGAU